CACAUAGUUAGCCGGGGCUUCCUCCUUAGGUACCGUCCUUUCUCUUCCCUAACGACAAUAGUUUACAUUCCGAAAAACUUCUUCCUAUACGCGGCGUCACUGCGUCAGAGUUUCCUCCAUUGCGCAAUAUUCCCGACUGCUGCCUCCCGUAGGAGUCUGGGCCGUAUCUCAGUCCCAAUGUGGCCGUUCAACCUCUCAGUCCGGCUACUGAUCGUCGCCUUGGUAGGCCUUUACCCCACCAACUAGCUAAUCAGACGCAAGCCCAUCUGUAAGUGGAUUGCUCCUUUCCUCACUCUUACAUGUGUUAGUGUGAGCAUAUGCGGUAUUAGCAAUGAUUUCUCACUGUUAUUCCCCUCUUACAGGCAGGUUGCUUACGUGUUACUCACCAGUCCGCCACUAACCGUACCCAAUCGUAAUGAAUGGGCCUAAGUUCGUUCGACUUGCAUGUCUUAUGUGCGCCGCCAGCGUUUUAUCCUGAGCCAGGAUCAAACUCU
rnacentral:rRNA from 1 species